rnacentral:sRNA from 3 species
GUAGAUGCUCAUUCCAUUUGUUAUGUACGUUUAACGACAUAAUCCCGGGAAUGACGCAAAGCCAUUCUGGUAUCUGUUGUCCACAAGCCCGCGAUGGGCUUACCGGACAUUACGUUGAGUCUGAUACCGUCCAGUUGUUUUAUCGAUCUGAACUUUACACCUGCUUAUGCAGGUGUUUUUUU